rnacentral:rRNA from 1 species
GUUGUUCGGAAUUACUGGGCGUAAAGGGCGCGUAGGCGGUCUGCUAAGUUGGAUGUGAAAACUCUGGGCUUAACCCAGAGCCUGCAUUCAAUACUGACAGGCUAGAGUUCUGGAGGGGAUAGCGGAAUUCCUGGUGUAGCGGUGAAAUGCGUAGAUAUCAGGAGGAACACCGGUGGCGAAGGCGGCUAUCUGGACAGAGUCUGACGCUGAGGCGCGAAAGCUAGGGGAGCAAACAGG